GAUGAACGCUGGCGGCGUGCUUAACACAUGCAAGUCGAACGAAGCACUUUAUUUGAUUUCCUCCGGGACUGAUUAUUUUGUGACUGAGUGGCGGACGGGUGAGUAACGCGUGGGUAACCGGCCUUGUACAGGGGGAUAACAGUUGGAAACGGCUGCUAAUACCGCAUAAGCGCCCAGCAUCGCAUGAUGCAGUGUGAAAAACUCCGGUGGUAUAAGAUGGACCCGCGUUGGAUUAGCUAGUUGGUGAGGUAACGGCCCACCAAGGCGACGAUCCAUAGCCGAACUGAGAGGGUGACCGGCCACACUGGGACUGAGACACGGCCCAAACUCCUACGGGAGGCAGCAGUGGGGAAUAUUGCACAAUGGGCGAAAGCCUGAUGCAGCGACGCCGCGUGAGCGAAGAAGUAUUUCGGUAUGUAAAGCUCUAUCAGCAGGGAAGAUAAUGACGGUACCUGACGAAGAAGCACCGGCUAAAUACGUG
rnacentral:rRNA from 1 species